rnacentral:rRNA from 1 species
AACGAACGCUGGCGGCAUGCCUAACACAUGCAAGUCGAACGAGACCUUCGGGUCUAGUGGCGCACGGGUGCGUAACGCGUGGGAACCUGCCCUUAGGUUCGGAAUAACUCCCCGAAAGGGGUGCUAAUACCGGAUAAUGUCUUCGGACCAAAGAUUUAUCGCCUUUGGAUGGGCCCGCGUUGGAUUAGCUUGUUGGUAGGGUAAAGGCCUACCAAGGCGAUGAUGGAUAGCUGGUCUGAGAGGAUGAUCAGCCGCAUUGGGACUGAGAUACGGCCCAGACUCCUACGGGAGGCAGCAGUGGGGAAUAGUGCACAAUGGGCGGAAGCCUGAUGCAGCAACGCCGCGUGCGGGAUGACGGCCUUCGGGUUGUAAACCGCUUUCGCCUGUGACGAAGCGUGAGUGACGGUAAUGGGUAAAGAAGCACCGGCUAACUACGUG